GUCGCCCCAGAGAUGGUGUGCGGUUGGGUGUGCGUCGUAUUCUAUAUGUCAAAACGACUCUCGGCAACGGAUAUCUCGGCUCUCGCAUCGAUGAAGAACGUAGCGAAAUGCGAUACUUGGUGUGAAUUGCAGAAUCCCGUGAACCAUCGAGUCUUUGAACGCAAGUUGCGCCCGAAGCCAUUAGGCCGAGGGCACGUCUGCCUGGGCGUCACA
rnacentral:rRNA from 3 species